rnacentral:rRNA from 1 species
AGCGAACGUUAGCGGCGCGCUUAACACAUGCAAGUCGCACGAGAAAGGGCUUCGGCCCCGGUAAAGUGGCGCACGGGUGCGUAACACGUAGGCAAUCUUCCCUUGAGCGGGGGAUAACGUUUCGAAAGAGACGCUAAUACCGCAUAAGACCACGACGGGUUCGCUCGUUGCGGUCAAAGCUGGCCUCUCCACGGAAGCUAGCACUUAAGGACGAGCCUGCGGCCCAUCAUGCUAGUUGGUAGGGUAACGGCCUACCAAGGCGAAGACGGG